rnacentral:rRNA from 1 species
AGAGUUUGAUCCUGGCUCAGGACGAACGCUGGCGGCAUGCCUAACACAUGCAAGUCGAACGGAUACCGAAAGGUAUUAGUGGCGAACGGGUGAGUAACACGUGAACAAUCUGCCUUCUGCUAUGGGAUAACACCUGGAAACGGGUGCUAAUACCGUAUAUGACCACGCCGGGGCAUCCCGGAGGGGUGAAAGCGUUUAAAGCGGCAGGAGAUGAGUUCGCGUCCAAUUAGUUAGUUGGCGGGAUAAAGGCCCACCAAGACUUCGAUUGGUAGCCGGCUUGAGAGAGCGAACGGCCACACUGGAACUGAGACACGGUCCAGACUCCUACGGGAGGCAGCAGUGGGGAAUAUUGGGCAAUGGAGGAAACUCUUACCCAGCAAUGCCGCGUGAGUGAAUGAAGGUCUUCGGAUUGUAAAGCUCUUUAAUCGGGGACGAAGAAAUGACGGUACCCGAGGAAUAAGCCCCGGCUAACUAUGUGCCAGCAGCCGCGGUAAUACAUAGGGGGCGAGCGUUGUCCGGAAUGACUGGGCGUAAAGGGUGUGUAGGCGGUCUGACAAGUCGGAAGUGUAAUACCUUCGCUUAACGAAGGUGCUGCUUCCGAAACUGUGGGACUACGAGUGUCGGAGAGGAAAACGGAAUUCCUGAUGUAGCGGUGGAAUGCGUAGAUAUCAGGAGGAACACCGGAGGCGAAAGCGGUUUUCUGGACGACAACUGACGCUGAGGCACGAAAGCGUGGGGAGCAAACAGGAUUAGAUACCCUGGUAGUCCACGCUGUAAACGAUGGAUACUGGGUGUAGGGGGGUUAUCGACUCCCCCUGUACCGAAGCAAACGCAUUAAGUAUCCCGCCUGGGGAG